rnacentral:rRNA from 1 species
AUUGAACGCUGGCGGCAUGCCUUACACAUGCAAGUCGAACGGCAGCACGGGAGCAAUCCUGGUGGCGAGUGGCGAACGGGUGAGUAAUAUAUCGGAACGUGCCCAGUCGUGGGGGUUAACGUAGCGAAAGCUACGCUAAUACCGCAUACGAUCUAUGGAUGAAAGCGGGGGUCGCAAGACCUCGCGCGAUUGGAGCGGCCGAUAUCAGAUUAGGUAGUUGGGGAGGUAAAGGCUCACCAAGCCGACGAUCUGUAGCUGGUCUGAGAGGACGACCAGCCACACUGGGACUGAGACACGGCCCAGACUCCUACGGGAGGCAGCAGUGGGGAAUUUUGGACAAUGGGCGCAAGCCUGAUCCAGCAAUGCCGCGUGCAGGAUGAAGGCCUUCGGGUUGUAAACUGCUUUUGUACGGAGCGAAAAGGCUUCCACUAAUACUGGGGGCUCAUGACGGUACCGUAAGAAUAAGCACCGGCUAACUACGUGCCAGCCGCCGCCGUAAUAC